AUUGAACGCUGGCGGCGUGCCUAACACAUGCAAGUCGAGCGGUAACAGGUGUAGCAAUACAUGCUGACGAGCGGCGAACGGGUGAGUAAUGCUUCGGAAUCUGCCCAUGUAGUGGGGAAUAACCAGCCGAAAGGUUGGCUAAUACCGCAUACGACCUACGGGUGAAAGCAGGGGAUCGCAAGACCUUGCGCUAUUGGAUGAGCCGAAGUCGGAUUAGCNGUUGGUAGGGUAACGGCCUACCAAGGCGACGAUCCGUAGCUGGUCUGAGAGGACGACCAGCCACACUGGGACUGAGACACGGCCCAGACUCCUACGGGAGGCAGCAGUGGGGAAUAUUGGACAAUGGGCGAAAGCCUGAUCCAGCGAUGCCGCGUGUGUGAAGAAGGCCUGC
rnacentral:rRNA from 1 species